CAGUCCCAGAGGAAAGGCCUGUCCUCCAAGCCAAUGUGCAGCCUGACUCUGGGGCCAGCGCCUGAGGAAGCCCUCCCUGAGCCCCAGCCCUGGGGAAGGCUGAAGAGGCCUCUGAGCUCCCAGCGCUGGGGAGCGCUGUGCAGAAUAGGACUGGAGGCAGUUUGGGGUUUCAGCAGGUGGCCCAGUGCUGAGACACAAGGGAGUUGUUUCUGGUCUGCAGACACUGAGGACACUUGCUAUGUGGCGUGGUGGAUGGUGGCUUCCAAUUGUGGACAAGAUAAGGACCAUUGCCCAGGCUGUCUAUGGAGCCAAAGAUAUCGAACUCUGUCCUGAGGCACAAGUCAAAAUAGAUCGUUACACUCAGCAGGGUUUUGGAAAUUUGCCCAUCUGCAUGGCAAAGACCGAUCUUUCUCUGUCUCACCAACCUGACAAAAAAGGUGUGCCAAGGGACUUCAUCUUACCUAUCAGUGAUGUCCGGGCCAGCAUAGGUGCUGGGUUCAUUUACCCUUUGGUCGGAACGUCUCGCUCUGUUGCCCAGGCUAAAGUGCAGUGGCAUGAUCUCGGCUCACUGCAACCUCCACCUCCCGGGUUCACACCAUUCUCCUGCCUCAGCCUCCCAAGUAGCAGGGACUACAGGCACCCGCCACCACACCUGGCUAACUUUUUGUAUUUUUAGUGGAGACAGAGAUGACCCAAAUUCUUAACUGCCUCAUAAAUACUGUUAAUAUAUUGAAAGUUUUGCCCUAGGCUUUUAUUAAAGUCAACUAUAU